rnacentral:rRNA from 1 species
GAUGAACGCUAGCGAUAGGCCUAACACAUGCAAGUCGAGGGGCAGCACAUGAGUAGCAAUACGAUGGUGGCGACCGGCGCACGGGUGAGUAACACGUAUGCAACCUUCCCUGUACAGGGGGAUAACCCGGAGAAAUUCGGACUAAUACCCCAUGAUGAUAUUAAUGGGCAUCCAAUAAUAUUUAAAGCUCCGGCGGUACGGGAUGGGCAUGCGCGACAUUAGCUAGUUGGUAGGGUAACGGCCUACCAAGGCCACGAUGUUUAGGGGACCUGAGAGGGUUGUCCCCCACACUGGUACUGAGACACGGACCAGACUCCUACGGGAGGCAGCAGUGAGGAAUAUUGGUCAAUGGGCGCAAGCCUGAACCAGCCAUCCCGCGUGAAGGAAGAAUGCGCUACGCGUUGUAAACUUCUUUUCCAGGGGGAGAAUAAUCCUGUCGUGACAGGACUUGACGGUACUCUGGGAAUAAGCAUCGGCUAACUCCGUGCCAGCAGCCCGGUAAAA